rnacentral:rRNA from 1 species
UACAGAGGGGGCAAGCGUUGUUCGGAAUUACUGGGCGUAAAGCGCACGUAGGCGGAUCUGCCAGUCAGGGGUGAAAUCCCGGGGCUCAACCUCGGAACUGCCUCUGAUACAGCAAGUCUUGAGUCCGGAAGAGGUGGGUGGAAUUCCUAGUGUAGAGGUGAAAUUCGUAGAUAUUAGGAAGAACACCAGUGGCGAAGGCGGCCCACUGGUCCGGUACUGACGCUGAGGUGCGAAAGCGUGGGGAGCAAACAGG